rnacentral:lncRNA from 1 species
GAGAGAGAGAGAGAGAGAGAGAGAGAGAGAGAGAGAGAGAGAGAGCUCUGCCAUCCUUGGUAGAAGCCUUUUGAUUUGGAGUUUAAAAAAAAAAUAUCCAAGAAGCCUGCAAUUGGCCAGCAGCUUAAAAAAAUCUCUUCCGGGUUUUCAACGGUUCCAAGUUUAUUUAGCUAUUUUUUUUAAUGCAAAAAAACAGGGACAAGCGAUGAAGCAAUUCGUCUGAGCAUUUUAAAGUUUCUCACGUACUCUUUUUACAUUGCAAUGGUACGUGGUACAUCUUAAACUUUCUAUUUUACAUUUAUACGAUAUGUGUUAUAUAAACAACGGUAGAAUGUUUAUGCUUAAUGGUUAAGACUUUAAAAUUUUUCUAGCUCGAAUAUGCACUUUAGUGAUUGCUGGGUAAAUGUCUAUUGCGAUGGUUUUCUUUUAAAGAUGCAGCUUUGUGGAUCGUGUUUUUGUUAUGUGCAGCAGAGAGAUCGGGUUUCUCUUUCUUUCUUUCUUUCUUUUUUUUUUCCAGGAUUUGAAAAAAUUGCUGAGCUUAACAGAUUUUUUUUCCUGCUAGCGCUUGCUCCGUUCCAGAAAAGGGGGGGAGGGGGAGGGGGAUCCUGUACGUGCUCUGCUCUGUUAAAGACGUCUGGCCUCUGCAGUCAACCUAACCCGAAAAGAAAUGUCUGGACCCGAGAAUAAUUGACGAUUCGAUCCUCUAAUCAAUGGGACAACCUGCGAGAUUGACAGAAGUUCUAUCCAAUCAUGAGAAAGCUUGGGCAUACAGUGGUUCGUAAUAGCCAUAGGGGGCGGGGCAAAUGAGAUCUGAAGUUCUCUGCAGUUCUGAAGGGGAUGGUGUAUAGUUCAAGCUGUCAAAGAUACCAGCGCUUCCGGAUUUAGCAAUUACAAUAGGAAAGAGGGGUGUUUUUUUGGUUGUUGUUGUUAGUUUAAAGGAGAAAAGAGGCUGUUGGGGGGUUGCAUGGCUCCUAUGUGACUUUUAACUUUGCUCCUUUGGAAAAUUCUGCUAGAGUAAUAUUUAACCUUGCAUUAGUUAUUCUCAGAACUCAGGGAAGUUGGGAACUCGUAGGAGAGGUUUAGCUUCUUUGAGAAAGAUGCCUCAAGUUGGUACUGCACUAAGUGCUUCAGAACUUCUCGCUGAUUCUUUUAGAGUCUUUGAUGUAUCCAUGAAAGAGAACGCACUAUAGGUAGAUGGACAACUGUUCUAUAGAUUUGAAAAGGAGAAGGGAGGGGCUGGAUGUUCCUGAAUUCUACUGUUUCAGAUUAUGGUCAGUAGCAUGGAGCAUAUCACAUUUCUUUGUGUUACCACAACAACCCUACUGGCGGGUACAUAAGUGGGAGAGAACUGACUCCUGUUAGCUGGAGUCUAGCCUCUUGUUCAAUCCUGGCCAUCUGCAUGGUGGAAACUAACUGCCUUAGUUUGUCUUGGAGAUAUAACUUGCAGCCUCUGGUUCAAAUCUAUCAACCCCCACCCCCAAUUCUGUAGGUAAUACAUGGAAAAUAAUAUGGAUUCUUUACUUUUUAAUGUGGAUUUAGUUCUCAUCCAACUAUUUCCUGAGGCUUUGGGCCUUCCAGACAAACCUUGUUCGGAAACUUGAUGUGAAAAACUCACUUGUGUGCUCAAUGCAUCAACAUGAUUCAAUUUGGGAUUAUAUGCAAGUAAGAGAAAUCUGCACACAAGUGACCAGUAAGUAAAAAAGUGAAGAAAAAUGCUGGAAAAUACUAGUUAAGAGUUAGUCUUGGUGAUAACUAUAGAGCAAAUGGUAUUUAUUGUCACUUAGGAAUCCUGGUCCCAUUUUCACUACUUUGGGCAUUAAAAUCUAAAUCACAUUAAUACAAUUUCCCAACUAAAUAGAAAGGAGAGGUAUUUCAGAUAUAUGUAGAAGUGAAACUUUAUUGACGUAAUUUAUACAUCUAAGAGGAUUUCACUAAAGCUGGCAAGGUAACGUUUCUGCAAAUAAAACAGUAAAUGCAAGGCUGGGCUCUGUGCCAGGGAGAAUAUGGAUAGCAGAGAGCAUGGCAGGAACCUCCUUUUUGCAAAGACAAUCCGGUUUCAAGGCAGCCUCCUACCACUUGCAAAAUAAACGACUGGAGUAAUGUUUCCAAUAAGGAUUUACCCUUCCUAACAAUGGGUCAUUUAUAUGAUUGCAAUAAACUAGUUUUCAUACAUCACCUGUGUUUCCUACACUCUUCUCCCUUCUUUUGCUCCCCCUUCCCUUCCCCCUCUUUCUCAGAUCUUCCUUUCUCUCCCUCUCUUAGUAUCUCUGUGAACUCUAGACAAGGAUUUACUUUUGCAACCUAGAAGACAGGAGAAAGUUAGAAAUGUUUUUUAUCCCGGGUCUGUCCUCUGAGGAACAUCUGUUUCUUUGUGUGUUUAAAUUUAUGCCUGUUGGAGAGAAAGUUACCAGAAGCCAUUCUGUAACUGUAACUCUUCUACGGUAUUUUUCUCAGUCUAGUUUGCAAAGGCUGUAGUUGGAACUGGGCUUUGUAGUGUUCCCCCGCCUUCCACCCUCCUCCGGAGCGGGGGAGGGAGCGGGAGCUGGCACAGAUAGGAGAGAAAGCAGGAGCGGAUGUGGAGGGCUUUGGUGCUGAACUUGGAUCCAGCCCUUGCCUAGAGGGCGCAAACAAUCGUCCCAUAUCCAAAAGUCUUACGAAGGGCGCCAAAAGUUACUUAAGAUAAUAUUGCUAACCGCAGAAUGCUGGAAAUCGCGGGCACAUCCACUGCUGCAACAAAAGAAGUUUCUAAAGUGGAAAUAUCAGCAUUCAAUUACUUUUUCCCAUUUAAAAAAAGAAGACAUGGCAACAGGCAGUUAUUUAAAAAAAUCCCCUUGAGAAUCAAAAGUAAAAUUCUUUGCUGUUUUGAAAAGAGGCAGAUGUGAAGUGUAUCUAUACACC